UACCAGCACCCCGAGUGGUCGGGACGUUUAUUGGGCCUAAAGCAUCCGUAGCCGGUUCUACAAGUCUUCCGUUAAAUCCAACUGCUUAACAGGUGGGCUGCGGAAGAUACUAUAGAGCUAGGAGGCGGGAGAGGCAAGCGGUACUCGAUGGGUAGGGGUAAAAUCCGUUGAUCCAUUGAAGACCACCAGUGGCGAAGGCGGCUUGCCAGAACGCGCU
rnacentral:rRNA from 1 species